AACAAACGCUGGCGGCGUGCCUAAUACAUGCAAGUCGAACGGGGAAAGUAGCAAUACGAGUACUAGUGGCGCACGGGUGAGGAAUACAUGGGUAAUCUGCCCUCGAGCUCGGGAUAACCAGUCGAAAGACUGGCUAAUACCGGAUAUGACCACAAGAUCUGAGGAUCAAGGGGUAAAAGGUUUUUCGCUUGAGGAUGAGCCCAUGUGGGAUUAGCUAGUUGGUGUAGGUAACGGCUCACCAAGGCGACGAUCCCUAACUGGUCUUAGAGGAUGAUCAGUCACACUGGAACUGAGACACGGUCCAGACUCCUACGGGAGGCAGCAGUAGGGAAUAUUGCACAAUGGAGGAAACUCUGAUGCAGCGACGCCGCGUGAGUGAUGAAGGCCUUCGGGUCGUAAAGCUCUGUCGUAUGGGACUAACAAAUGAAGGUACCAUGCAAGAAAGGAUACGGCUAACUUCGUGCCAGCAGACCGCGGUAAU
rnacentral:rRNA from 1 species